UAUACAGGUUGUAUCCAGUCAGUAACUCCACUAUACAGGUUGUAUCCAGUCAGUAACAGGUUGUAUCCAGUCAGUAACUCCACUAUACAGGUUGUAUCCAGUCAGUAACUCCUCUAUACAGGUUGUAUCCAGUCAGUAACUCCUCUAUACAGGUUGUAUCCAGUCAGUAACUCCUCUAUACAGGUUGUAUCCAGUCAGUAACUCCACUAUACAGGUUGUAUCCAGUCAGUAACAGGUUGUAUCCAGUCAGUAACUCCACUAUACAGGUUGUAUCCAGUCAGUAACUCCUCUAUACAGGUUGUAUCCAGUCAGUAACUCCUCUAUACAGGUUGUAUCCAGUCAGUAACUCCACUAUACAGGUUGUAUCCAGUCAGUAACUCCUCUAUACAGGUUGUAUCCAGUCAGUAACUCUACUAUACAGGUUGUAUCCAGUCAGUAACUCCUCUAUACAGGUUGUAUCCAGUCAGUAACAGGUUGUAUCCAGUCAGUAACUCCACUAUACAGGUUGUAUCCAGUCAGUAACAGGUUGUAUCCAGUCAGUAACAGGUUGUAUCCAGUCAGUAACUCCACUAUACAGGUUGUAUCCAGUCAGUAACUCCUCUAUACAGGUUGUAUCCAGUCAGUAACAGGUUGUAUCCAGUCAGUAACAGGUUGUAUCCAGUCAGUAACUCCACUAUACAGGUUGUAUCCAGUCAGUAACAGGUUGUAUCCAGUCAGUAACAGGUUGUAUCCAGUCAGUAACUCCACUAUACAGGUUGUAUCCAGUCAGUAACUCCUCUAUACAGGUUGUAUCCAGUCAGUAACAGGUUGUAUCCAGUCAGUAACUCCACUAUACAGGUUGUAUCCAGUCAGUAACUCCUCUAUACAGGUUGUAUCCAGUCAGUAACUCCUCUAUACAGGUUGUAUCCAGUCAGUAACUCCACUAUACAGGUUGUAUCCAGUCAGUAACUCCACUAUACAGGUUGUAUCCAGUCAGUAACUCCUCUAUACAGGUUGUAUCCAUUCAGUAACAGGUUGUAUCCAGUCAGUAACUCCACUAUACAGGUUGUAUCCAGUCAGUAACUCCUCUAUACAGGUUGUAUCCAGUCAGUAACUCCACUAUACAGGUUGUAUCCAGUCAGUAACUGGUGGCAGUUAGGGUUUCCAAGUUGUCUUGAAUACAGCAACGCACACGCCAUUAUGGGGUAUUGUGAUGUCAUUAUGGGGUACUGUGAUGUCAUUAUGGGGUACUGUGAUGUCAUUAUGGGGUAUUGUGAUGUCAUUAUGGGGUAUUGUGUGUAGAUUGAGGUAAAACAACACAGUGGAAAAAGUGAAGUGGUCUGAAUUCUUUCUGAAUGAACGCAACAUAUAAGGGAAUCAGUCAAUAAAUAAAUGAGAC